rnacentral:rRNA from 1 species
UGGCGGCGUGCCUAAUACAUGCAAGUCGAGCGGACUAAUUAAGAGCUUGCUCUUAUGAGGUUAGCGGCGGACGGGUGAGUAACACGUGGGCAACCUGCCCUGUAGACUGGGAUAACAUCGAGAAAUCGGUGCUGAUACCGGAUAAUUGUUGGAACUGCAUAGUUCUAACUUAAAAGAUGGCUCCGGCUAUCACUAUAGGAUGGGCCCGCGGCGCAUUAGCUAGUUGGUAAGGUAAUGGCUUACCAAGGCGACGAUGCGUAGCCGACCUGAGAGGGUGAUCGGCCACACUGGGACUGAGACACGGCCCAGACUCCUACGGGAGGCAGCAGUAGGGAAUCUUCCGCAAUGGACGAAAGUCUGACGGAGCAACGCCGCGUGAGUGAUGAAGGUUUUCGGAUCGUAAAGCUCUGUUGUUAGGGAAGAACAAGUGCCGUUCGAAUAGGGCGGCACCUUGACGGUACCUAACCAGAAAGCCACGGCUAACUACGUG